CAGAGUCUCAGUGAUAUCAGCAUAAAUCAGGGCUAUGGAGUUAUAGAGGCAUGAAAUGAGAUCAGAACGAGCCCUGGAGCUCUCUUCCAUGCCCAAGACCUAUCACUGGUUCCUUGUCAAACUCCAAGUGAGAUCUUGCUUGCAGACCUUGCUCCCGUUGGCAUAAUGCCACCAUUGGACUUUCUGCAGGAAUCAGCCAUCCACUAAGUCAUUACCUCCAAAUCAUCAAAUUAUUUUUCUCUAAUACAAUUAGUCACGUAAGUGCAGGACGAUCCAUUCUGCUUUUUCCUACUGGACAUUUAAGCCGGCGGCUUUGUGUUCACUUCCUGCUGGCAGACAGCCUGCGUAGGGAAAUGCAGGUGGACAGCAAGUCAUCGAUGGCACGGGAUGUUUCAGGGUCUGCCACAAACUGCAGAGUGCUUAAGACUCAGCCAUUUUUAGUCAUUUCCAUGCUUUCUCCAUUUCUAAGUGUGACGGAAGGGCAGAGGGCACAGCGUGGGGGCUGCCCAGGGGCCAGGCAGGCUGCUGUGCUGCAGCAGCGCCUCUGCCAUGCCAGAAGUUGCUUGUUGUGCCUCCCAGCCGCUCCAGGGAGCUCCCACCUGGGAUAAAUCCCAGCACCAGAGGCGCAAAAGAGGCAGGAGAAGCUAUGUUUUCCUCUAUCUAAAUUCUAAUUUUGGACACUACACAGGGCUUUCUUGCCUCUCCCACCAGAUCCCACGCGCAAGAUCCAGAUGUCUCCCCUUGUUAGUGGGUUUAGCGCUUUCUGUCUCAUUUGCACCAGACACUUCUCAUUUUACUGCCUUGUUCCCUCAGCAGCAGCUCAAAGAGGACCCUUCAGGUGAUGGCAGCAGAGGGGACGGGCACGAACGGCUCCUGAGCAAGGAGCUCCUGGAACAGCUCCAAGCACAACUGGCAUUGCUGUCUUCAACUGUUAUUCUGCAAGAUCUAGCGGGCAGCAGGACCAGCCAGAAAAAUAAAAAUAAAAGCAAGAAAGAGAAGCUGUCCUGGUAUUCGGUGGCUCGGAUCCGACAUAAACACUGCUGGGAUAAGGCAGACGUGCUGGAACGCUGCGGGAUUCAGGGUCAGAGUGAAAAUCCCCUGGUUUUCACAUUCAUACACCCCAAAC
rnacentral:lncRNA from 1 species